GAGGUCAAACAGACCCCAUAACGUGGUUCGCGGUUUGGAGUGUAGUCUGCAACUCGACUACAUGAAGCUGGAAUCGCUAGUAAUCGUAGAUCAGCAUGCUACGGUGAAUACGUUCCCGGGUCUUGUACACACCGCCCGUCACACCACGAGAGUUUGUAACACCCGAAGCCGGUGGAGUAACCUUUUAGGAGCUAGCCGUCGAAGGUGGGACAAAUGAUUGGGGUGAAGUCGUAACAAGGUAGCCGUAUCGGAAGGUGCGGCUGGAUCACCUCCUUUCUAAGGA
rnacentral:rRNA from 1 species